AUUGGCUAAACUUUAUUAAAGUGGACUUUGUUUUCAAAUAACUUAUUGAGCUUACAUAGAAAUUUAGUGAAAGAAAAUUAUGCUAAUGACUUAUUAAAACAACUUGAUACUAUACAACUGAAUAUACUAGAACAAGCAACGCAUUGAAACUUCUACUGAUUUCAUAUCUAGUACUAAGUAAAUCUCAAAUGAAAACAAACAAAAAGUCUGGGAAAUCAUCGCUAAUUGAAUGUGUUUCAUCUUUUGUUAUAAAUAUUUCAUGUAAGGUAUCCACUUAACACCUACUAAGAAUGGAGAAAAAUAUAUAUUUCUACACAAUAUGAUGCUAUAAACUGAGUAUUCAAAAUCGUAAGUGAAAUUACUCACCGAGUCAACAAUAUAUUAUGAUAUAAUAUACAAUGCAUAGAUAAUAUUGUCUAUGUAUGAUCAUAGACAAGUUUUUUAAUAAAAAUCAUUUAAAUAAUGAGUAUUUGAGUAAAAAUGUAUACUAUAUUUUUUUAAUUUAAAUAAAAUGUAUUGCUUUAAAUGUACUUGAAACUUG